AGAGUUUGAUCCUGGCUCAGGAUGAACGCUGGCGGCGUGCCUAAUACAUGCAAGUCGAGCGAACGGACGAGAAGCUUGCUUCUCUGAUGUUAGCGGCGGACGGGUGAGUAACACGUGGAUAACCUACCUAUAAGACUGGGAUAACUUCGGGAAACCGGAGCUAAUACCGGAUAAUAUUUUGAACCGCAUGGUUCAAAAGUGAAAGACGGUCUUGCUGUCACUUAUAGAUGGAUCCGCGCUGCAUUAGCUAGUUGGUAAGGUAACGGCUUACCAAGGCAACGAUGCAUAGCCGACCUGAGAGGGUGAUCGGCCACACUGGAACUGAGAUACGGUCCAGACUCCUACGGGAGGCAGCAGUAGGGAAUCUUCCGCAAUGGGCGAAAGCCUGACGGAGCAACGCCGCGUGAGUGAUGAAGGUCUUCGGAUCGUAAAACUCUGUUAUUAGGGAAGAACAUAUGUGUAAGUAACUGUGCACAUCUUGACGGUACCUAAUCAGAAAGCCACGGCUAACUACGUGCCAGCAGCCGCGGUAAUACGUAGGUGGCAAGCGUUAUCCGGAAUUAUUGGGCGUAAAGCGCGCGUAGGCGGUUUUUUAAGUCUGAUGUGAAAGCCCACGGCUCAACCGUGGAGGGUCAUUGGAAACUGGAAAACUUGAGUGCAGAAGAGGAAAGUGGAAUUCCAUGUGUAGCGGUGAAAUGCGCAGAGAUAUGGAGGAACACCAGUGGCGAAGGCGACUUUCUGGUCUGUAACUGACGCUGAUGUGCGAAAGCGUGGGGAUCAAACAGGAUUAGAUACCCUGGUAGUCCACGCCGUAAACGAUGAGUGCUAAGUGUUAGGGGGUUUCCGCCCCUUAGUGCUGCAGCUAACGCAUUAAGCACUCCGCCUGGGGAGUACGACCGCAAGGUUGAAACUCAAAGGAAUUGACGGGGACCCGCACAAGCGGUGGAGCAUGUGGUUUAAUUCGAAGCAACGCGAAGAACCUUACCAAAUCUUGACAUCCUUUGACAACUCUAGAGAUAGAGCCUUCCCCUUCGGGGGACAAAGUGACAGGUGGUGCAUGGUUGUCGUCAGCUCGUGUCGUGAGAUGUUGGGUUAAGUCCCGCAACGAGCGCAACCCUUAAGCUUAGUUGCCAUCAUUAAGUUGGGCACUCUAAGUUGACUGCCGGUGACAAACCGGAGGAAGGUGGGGAUGACGUCAAAUCAUCAUGCCCCUUAUGAUUUGGGCUACACACGUGCUACAAUGGACAAUACAAAGGGCAGCGAAACCGCGAGGUCAAGCAAAUCCCAUAAAGUUGUUCUCAGUUCGGAUUGUAGUCUGCAACUCGACUACAUGAAGCUGGAAUCGCUAGUAAUCGUAGAUCAGCAUGCUACGGUGAAUACGUUCCCGGGUCUUGUACACACCGCCCGUCACACCACGAGAGUUUGUAACACCCGAAGCCGGUGGAGUAACCUUUUAGGAGCUAGCCGUCGAAGGUGGGACAAAUGAUUGGGGUGAAGUCGUAACAAGGUAGCCGUAUCGGAAGGUGCGGCUGGAUCACCU
rnacentral:rRNA from 2 species